ensembl:snRNA U6 U6 spliceosomal RNA
UUGCUUUGACAGCAUAUAUACUACAAUUGGGAUGAUACAGAGAAGAUUAGCAUGACCCCUGCACUAGGAUGGCAUGCAGUUUCGUGAAGCAUUCUAUAUUUAA